UUCUUUUUUCCCUUAAAUUGACUGUACAUUUUUUUAGAGUUAAAUCAACAUAUUUUCCAUUCCAUAUUCAGCAAGAAAUCAGACAAUUAAAUGUGAGGGUUUUUUUUCUGCUGCUGCUAAGAGAUAUUUCCAUGGUGUUGCCAUAAUACAUACAGCAAUUUACUGUAUUAGACUCGCAUGUCUGUUACUCUGCACAACAGAUACAACAGAUCAGAUUAGAACAAGCUAAAGAGGCAGCGAGGAUGAAAAGCACCAGACCUAAGAGGAGAAAACACACAGGCCCUGAAAAGCCAAAGCAGAGCUGUGCUCACACAACCACAAGGCUCUCCCAGCCCGCUUCAUCCACAGCUACACAAAGCAGACAACACCCUGCAAAAGCAAUUGCUAAACCCAGAAUAGCCUGUGCCAGAGUCCAAAAUCCAAAACAAAAAAUCCUUGCCUAAUUUUCUUCUAACAAAUAGGGCAUGAAGUCCUGAUUGCUGGGCACCACGGUGUUGAUGACAGGCAGCCAUUAAAACAUCACUGUGAGGUCACAACCAAAUUACAUAAGGCUGGAGACAAGGGCCAUGCUGGUGUGACAUGUGCACAGUGUGCAGAGUUGCCCCAAGAGCAACAGGAUUUGGGAGCCUCGCAUUCCGACGCUGCAUGUUUAGAUGAAUGCUAUCUUUUCUGCAGUGCAGUUUGAAGAACAGAGGAAGGACUGUAAAGCAGGAUCACGGGAGAGUUUGAUUUCCAGGCAGUGAUGAAUGGCGGGGGAGGCCAGGUCACCCGGCUGCAACAUCAAAGGGGCGACUGAACCAGCAGCACACUUGAAGUUAGUUAAAAUGCCAUCACCA